GAUAAACGCUGGCGGCGCACAUAAGACAUGCAAGUCGAACGAACUUAAUAUCUUGCUUGCAAGAUAAGCGGUUAGUGGCGGACUGGUGAGUAACACGUAAGAAAUCUGCCUAUUAGAGGGGAAUAACAGUGAGAAAUCAUUGCUAAUACCGCAUAUGCCAUAGUUAUCGCAUGAUAAUAGUGGGAAAGGAGAAAUCCGCUAAUAGAUGAGCUUGCGUCUGAUUAGCUAGUUGGUGGGGUAAAGGCCUACCAAGGCGACGAUCAGUAGCCGGACUGAGAGGUUGAACGGCCACAUUGGGACUGAGAUACGGCCCAG
rnacentral:rRNA from 1 species